CCGGCGCACGGGUGAGUAACGCGUAUGCGACCUGCCCGUUGCAGGGGGAUAAUCGGGAGAAAUCCCGUCUAAUACCGCGUAAUGCCGCGGGGCUGCAUGGCCCUGCGGCCAAAGGGAGCGAUUCCGGCAACGGAUGGGCAUGCGUCGCAUUAGUUAGUUGGCGGUGUAACGGACCACCAAGACGACGAUGCGUAGGGGUUCUGAGAGGAAGGUCCCCCACACUGGUACUGAGACACGGACCAGACUCCUACGGAAGGCAGCAG
rnacentral:rRNA from 1 species